rnacentral:rRNA from 1 species
UACGAAGGGGGCUAGCGUUGCUCGGAAUUACUGGGCGUAAAGGGCGCGUAGGCGGACAGUUUAGUCAGAGGUGAAAGCCCAGGGCUCAACCUUGGAAUUGCCUUUGAUACUGGCUGUCUUGAGUUCGGGAGAGGUGAGUGGAAUGCCGAGUGUAGAGGUGAAAUUCGUAGAUAUUCGGCGGAACACCAGUGGCGAAGGCGACUCACUGGCCCGAUACUGACGCUGAGGCGCGAAAGCGUGGGGAGCAAGCAGG